GGAUACGAGUUAUCUGAACCUUCGGGGAACGAUAACGGCGUCGAGCGGCGGACGGGUGAGUAAUGCCUAGGAAAUUGCCCUGAUGUGGGGGAUAACCAUUGGAAACGAUGGCUAAUACCGCAUGAUGCCUACGGGCCAAAGAGGGGGACCUUCGGGCCUCUCGCGUCAGGAUAUGCCUAGGUGGGAUUAGCUAGUUGGUGAGGUAAGGGCUCACCAAGGCGACGAUCCCUAGCUGGUCUGAGAGGAUGAUCAGCCACACUGGAACUGAGACACGGUCCAGACUCCUACGGGAGGCAGCAGUGGGGAAUAUUGCACAAUGGGCGCAAGCCUGAUGCAGCCAUGCCGCGUGUGUGAAGAAGGCCUUCGGGUUGUAAAGCACUUUCAGUCGUGAGGAAGGUGGUGUAGUUAAUAGCUGCAUUAUUUGACGUUAGCGACAGAAGAAGCACCGGCUAACUCCGUGCCAGCAGCCGCGGUAAUACGGAGGGUGCGAGCGUUAAUCGGAAUUACUGGGCGUAAAGCGCAUGCAGGUGGUUUGUUAAGUCAGAUGUGAAAGCCCGGGGCUCAACCUCGGAAUAGCAUUUGAAACUGGCAGACUAGAGUACUGUAGAGGGGGGUAGAAUUUCAGGUGUAGCGGUGAAAUGCGUAGAGAUCUGAAGGAAUACCGGUGGCGAAGGCGGCCCCCUGGACAGAUACUGACACUCAGAUGCGAAAGCGUGGGGAGCAAACAGGAUUAGAUACCCUGGUAGUCCACGCCGUAAACGAUGUCUACUUGGAGGUUGUGGCCUUGAGCCGUGGCUUUCGGAGCUAACGCGUUAAGUAGACCGCCUGGGGAGUACGGUCGCAAGAUUAAAACUCAAAUGAAUUUGACGGGGGCCCGC
rnacentral:rRNA from 1 species